rnacentral:rRNA from 1 species
AGAAUAAACGCUGGCGGCGUGCCUGACACAUGCAAGUCGAGCGUGAAAGGUCUUCGGACUAAGUAAAGCGGCGAACGGGUGAGUAACGCGUGAGAAUCUACCUUUCAGUGAGGAAUACCUUCGAGAAAUUGAAGUUAAUACUGCAUACGUCCCUUAGGGGAGAAAGAUGGCCUCUUUGCUGUCGCUGAAAGAUGAGCUUGCGUACGAUUAGCUAGUUGGUAGGGUAAAGGCCUACCAAGGCGAAGAUCGUU